CCUACGGGGUGCACCAGUGGGGAAUAUUGCACAAUGGGCGCAAGCCUGAUGCAGCCAUGCCGCGUGUAUGAAGAAGGCCUUCGGGUUGUAAAGUACUUUCAGCGAGGAGGAAGGCGAUAAGGUUAAUAACCUUGUCGAUUGACGUUACUCGCAGAAGAAGCACCGGCUAACUCCGUGCCAGCAGCCGCGGUAAUACGGAGGGUGCAAGCGUUAAUCGGAAUUACUGGGCGUAAAGCGCACGCAGGCGGUCUGUCAAGUCGGAUGUGAAAUCCCCGGGCUCGACCUGGGAACUGCAUUCGAAACUGGCAGGCUAGAGUCUUGUAGAGGGGGGUAGAAUUCCAGGUGUAGCGGUGAAAUGCGUAGAGAUCUGGAGGAAUACCGGUGGCGAAGGCGGCCCCCUGGACAAGGACUGACGCUCAGGUGCGAAAGCGUGGGGAGCAAACAGGAUUAGAUACCCGAGUAGUC
rnacentral:rRNA from 1 species